rnacentral:lncRNA from 1 species
AUGAAGCGCAGGUUGGGGGUCACAGAAAGGUGGGGGCUCCCCUGGGACCCAGUCCCAUUUGUUCUCUCUUGGAAACGUGCGGUUGUUGGAACACGCAGGGCCAAAACAACUCCUUCACAGACGCUGGGCCCAGGGCAGAUUCCGGGGACCAGAAGACAGAGCGUCAGGCUCGGGUCCCUUCGGUCUCAGGAGCUGCUCGGUUCCUGGGAUCCACAGGGCUGCACUGGAUUCUCAGUGUUGCCCGCGGGUUCCUGGAGGCGACUGAUUUAUUUCCGUGCUGGGGUGGAAUUAGGCGCUCGCACCCCAAGCACUCCAGCCCCGGCCCAGAAAACCGUGCACCUGCCUGGGCCCCGCGUCCUCGCUGGCGACGGGGGAGCCCAUAAUAGCAUCUGCCUUUCACGGGCUGCCAGGAGAAAGAGGACACCAGGGCGCCGACCAGGCCUGGGGGUCAGGCUCUGCUGCGGGGAACCGGUUCCAGAGGAGGUUUAUUUUGGUUUUAGACAAAAUCCCUGAUUCCCAUGGUGACCUAACAACAAAAGUAAGUACAGCUUAGCGUGUGAUCAGACGAUUCCCUAAUUCAUCUAUUAUGACAAUCAGAGAAACGGCACACAAGCUUUAGGUUAUAUGCCCAGCCAGCACCCAUCCUUUAAACAUUGGAAAUGAAGUAGAACCUAAAUGAAAUUGUAAUGUGAAAAUCAAAACAUUUAUAGAAAGAAAGUGAUACUUUCUAUCCAGCACUGGGAAAACAGGUGCAUGACUGCUUUUCUCAUGGUGGCAGCUCGGUGUACACUUGCUGCUAUAUUCAGUGACAAUAAAAAUUAUGCCAAAAUAUGUACUCAGUAUGUAGAUAUCCCCAUUUCUAAGAAAUUGAUAUAAUCGAAUUGUUACUAACUUUACUCUCAAGGUCUAGAAUCAGUUCAUUAUUAAGUCUGAUGAUAGUGAAAACAAUGUCACUGUAGAGAUUCAAAAGUUGACAGUAAGAUAUCAGUAUUAUUUAUGAAUUGAAAAAAAAGCUAUAAAGCUCUAGUAGUACCUAAGUGGCAGAAGGCUAUCAAAGAAAGACAGUGGUAAGAAAGAGACAUCACUGAUUCACAUUACUCCUUUUUAAAAACUAGAUUAUCUGAAAUCAAUUACUAUAAUGCUAAGAAGGAAUAUUCCACUAUAAAACCCAAAGAGUAUAUAACAUAGAAAAGACAAACACUGCAUUGCUAUCUUUCAAGAUAAUUUCUAACAGUGUUAACACCUUAUUAAUACAGACUUAUUGAUUCCACCAACCAAUUGCUGUAUGUUAAGCUUUUAAACUUGGCUGAUUCAUUAUCUCAGCCUAUUUCAAAGGAAGAAAGAAAAAAGUCAGAUAUUCUAGGAGUAGCAGCAAACUAGAAUUUUACUUAAUUGGAUUUCUCCCUAUAACAAUUAACAUAUUUUAAACACUAACAUUUAAAUUUCAAAAUGGAACAUUUUUUUAGUUGCAGCUCAGUGUACAGCUGAGGAGUGUAGCUCAGUGGUGGAGCGCUUGCUAGAAUGUGCCAGGCCUUGGGUUGGAUCCCCAGCACUGCACACAAAACUAUAUGCAAACCAAAGUGAAAUUAAACACAAUUUUAAAAAUUGCUUCAGUCAUGUAUGUUUAAACUACUUUACAAAUGCCUUGUACUAUGUCUAUCAACUACAUUUUCAUCUUUUCAAUUCUCUUCUUCCCCGAAAUGGAUUUCCUCAAAUAGAGAUCUUACUGCAUUCAUACCCAAAACCUUGCUACAGAAUAAGGUAGUUUUGGUUUAGGGAAACUACUUCUAAAGCUGGCAAAAUAACCCAAUGUCUCUGCUCCUAAAGUGACUAACCUUGACAGCACUGACAUGAACAGACCAUGCUAUCAGGUCCUGUCACCACUCUCUGGUGACCAAGGACCUCCAAGUAUCUGAUGUCCCGGCAGGGAACAAAUUCAGUGAUCUGGGGAGAUUUGCAACCAGAAGAAUUUGGAUAUAUGAUAAUGCAGAGAAGCAAUAAAAAACAAAAAGAAAAACCUGAAUCCUUCAUUCUCUUUAAAAUUUCACUCAUCUCCCAAUACUUUUCUUUUAUCAUCAUCUGACCCCAUUCUUACAUAUAGGUGAAAAUUCAGAGUAGUGAUUCAGAAGCC